UGGACUUGAUAUCCUUGGAAUCUUACAGAGAUGUGAGAGUGCUAGUUUACUAGAGCCAAGUGACAGGUGCUGCACGGCUGUCGUCAGCUCGUGUCGUGAGAUGUUGGGUUAAGUCCCGCAACGAGCGCAACCCUCAUCCUUAGUUGCCAUCAUUAAGUUGGGCACUCUAAGGAAACUGCCGGUGUUAAACCGGAGGAAGGUGGGGAUGACGUCAAGUCCUCAUGGCCCUUACGGCUAGGGCUACACACGUGCUACAAUGGGGCGUACAGAGUGUUGCGAUACCGCGAGGUGGAGCAAAUCUAUAAACCUAAUCUCAGUUCGGAUAGCAGUCUGCAACUCGACUGCUUGAAGCUGGAAUCACUAGUAAUCGUAAAUCAGCUAUGUUACGGUGAAUACGUUCCCGGGUCU
rnacentral:rRNA from 1 species